AAAAAUAAUAGUAAGUGCGAUUGUAUAUCUGCCACUGCAGCAUCAUCUUACGUUGGUGGGAUAUUUGCCUACCAAGGAUUCGACGCUUACGGGGAAUUAGGGUUUGACUCCGGAGAAUGAGCAUGAGAAACAGCUCAUACAUCUAAGGAAGGCAGCAGGCGCGGAAAUUGCCCAAUGUAUCUUUUAUACGAGGCAGUGACAAGAAAUGGUAGGCACUUUUGUGCACUAUCGAGGGUUAGUGGUAUCUUUGCUAACCGUGACUCGUGGGCAAGCUCGGUGCCAGCAGCCGCGGUAAUUCCGACACAGGGAGUUUUCCAUUUGGUUGCUGCAGUUAAAAAGUUCGUAGUUCACUGACUCUUUCACUAUAAGCAAAGCCGAAUGCUCCAAGUUUUUUAGCAGUAUUUAUAGUAUGAAAUUAUAGCGCGGCAUUGAACGUAGUUUGGGGUACUCGAUAGGGACAGGUGAAAUAGGAUGAUCUAUCGAAGACCCACGGUAGCGGAGGCUCCCAACGAAGUCCAAGUGUCACGAUCAAGAACUAAAGUCAGGGGAUAGACGACGAUUAGACACCGUUUUAUUCAUGACCCUAAACGAUGUCGCCUAGCUGAUGGGAUUUUUUUCAUUUGCCAAGAGAAAUCGUAAGGUUUCAGACUCUGGGGGAAGUAUGAUCGCAAGGUUGAAACUUGAAGGGAUUGACGGAGAGGUACCACCAGACGUGGAGUCUGCGGCUCAAUUUGACUCAACACGCAAACAUUACUAGGCCCAGAAGCU
rnacentral:rRNA from 1 species